rnacentral:lncRNA from 1 species
UGUCAUUGGCCUGCCUGUAACUGGGCUUGAUGCCCAAGAAGACUGUCCAGGUCGGUGGUCCAGAAACUCCAGGCAGGCAAGGAUUUGAGCACAUGCUGGAAAGCAGAUGGGCAGUGAAGCUGGGACAGGUAGUCCGAAAGCAGUUCAUUCUUCCCCCAAGGGAUGAACUGUUCACACUGAGAAGCCAGGCCAGUGCAUGAUGUGAAAGAUUCUCUUGCUCAGAGCCUGGAGAGCAACUGUCAGUCUGCAUAGAACCGGGACAGGGAACCCUUUUCUGGCUGAGGGCCACAUCCCCUUAUGGGCAACUUUCUGGGGGGCAUGUGCCAGUGGUGGGUGGGACCAGAGGCAAAAGUGGGUGGAGCAACAAAUGCAAAUUUUAGUUUUGAAGAGUAGGUCAGCUUCUGCACACAUGCUUCUGUUUCCUCUAUCCAGGUAAGCAAGAGGCAUGAUCAGAGCACACAUUCCAGCCAAGCAAAGAAAACCAUAGCUGUGCCCUGAGGAGAAGUGUCUAGGGAGAGCCCCAAGGCCAGAUAGAGAAGCCCUGAGGGCCACAUUAAACCCCUGGGCCUGAGGUUCCAAACGCCUAGUGUUUGAAAUUUGCCAGGCACCAGGCACAUUUUGUAACUGGCUAUUGGUCACUUGUGACCAUGUGAAGAUGUCAGAGCGCCAGGAUGACGCCUGAUAUCUCCAUCAUCAUCAUCAUUUUUAAUUUGUAUACCAUCUUUUUAUCUUACAAUACUCAAAGCGG